GAUGCAAUCGCCUCUAGGUUAUAAUUCGGUUAUGACAGUUUCUCUUAAGGAAAACUUGGGGUUCAAUGUUGUUGUGUGAUGGAAAUAAAAGCUUGAAUGCUAAAGACCCAACGAACAACGAGUGUUUAUUUUUCUAAGAGCAAGAGAAGAUUGCGUGUUUACGUCUUCCGAAUAAAACCAAAUCCUUCCGUUAUUGUAUAAUGUAGAAAAAAGGAAGCAACCAUAAUGCAUAACCCAUCUUCCAGGCCACGAUAUGAUGCCAAGGAUAUUGGGAGCGGGGUAUUAUUAGCAACUGCCGUUCGCAAGCGCAAAUACUCGUCAUCUAUCCCACUGUAAAUGAUGGAAAGCUCGGAAGACAUUGAACAUGUUCCAAUCGUCUGUGGUCAUAUUCUGGAGUUCGGCCUCACGACUGAUCUUUUCCAAAUUAUUGAUAUACGUGAGCAGACGCUCUACCUCAACGGCAGUUACUCUCCUCCAUGAAAUUGUCAAAUCUAACAUCAAAGAAAGAGUGCAAUUACGGAUGCUUUGUGGAUCUUUCCACAAGCACCAUCAACCCAACUUUCCUCCACCCACCAUCUCAAGUCAUCAAUAGUCAAAGCUGGGGCCAGGAUCGAAAACAUUCAAUUGACUACCCAUCAAGAAUCUUCCCUCUCCAAUAGUUCUUCAACUCUUCCGGACCUACAUCAACCCAAUUUUCCUCUACUGCUUUCCAACUCCUCCCAAUCCGCCCUCAAAUCCGCCGAUUUUUCUUAGCUCGUGAAGGAUCAGAUUUGAUGAAGACGCGCAAAUUAGAAAAUGGGCCUUUUUUGGAAUUAAAUGUCAAAUCUCGGACACGUUACCAUUCAUUUUUAUGCGUUCUGCUUGUUUAUGGACACUUAUGUCUGAAACAUUCUUGACCAAUGAGUGCGUUUAAAAAACUUUUUUCCUAGCAUGGUUCCAAAUUAUUAGUCAAUUAUUAAACCCUUCUGUUAUCAUCAAUUCGAUGUUUGAGUAGUACGAACAAUAAACAAUUCUAGUCAUA